rfam:Schistosoma mattheei strain Denwood, Zambia genome assembly, scaffold: SMTD_scaffold0005827
AUUCAACUGACGAGUCCUACAUAGGACGAAACACGCAUCCUGCUGAAU